rnacentral:misc_RNA from 1 species
GAUGAAGAACGCAGCGAAAUGCGAUAAGUAGUGUGAAUUGCAGAAUUCAGUGAAUCAUCGAAUCUUUGAACGCACAUUGCGCCCCUCGGUAUUCCAUGGGGCAUGCCUGUUCGAGCGUCAUUUGUACCUUCAAGCUCUGCUUGGUGUUGGGUGUUUGUCUCGCCUCUGCGUGUAGACUCGCCUCAAAACAAUUGGCAGCCGGCGUAUUGAUUUCGGAGCGCAGUACAUCUCGCGCUUUGCACUCAUAACGACGACGUCCAAAAGUACAUUUUUACACUCUUGACCUCGGAUCAGGUAGGGAUACCCGCUGAACUUAAGCAUAUCAAUAAGCGGAGGA